rnacentral:rRNA from 1 species
UACGGAGGGUGCAAGCGUUAUCCGGAUUCACUGGGUUUAAAGGGUGCGUAGGUGGGGUGGUAAGUCAGUGGUGAAAUCUCCGAGCUUAACUUGGAAACUGCCAUUGAUACUAUCAUUCUUGAAUAUUGUGGAGGUCAGCGGAAUAUGUCAUGUAGCGGUGAAAUGCUUAGAUAAGACAUAGAACACCAAUUGCGAAGGCAGCUGGCUACACAUAUAUUGACACUGAGGCACGAAAGCGUGGGGAUCAAACAGG